rnacentral:rRNA from 1 species
UACGCUGGCGGCACGCCUAACACAUGCAAGUCGAACGCAGUAGCAAUACUGAGUGGCAAACGGGUGAGUAUAAUGUGGGAAUCUGCCUUUUGGUUUGGAAUAACACGGGGAAACUUGUGCUAAUACCGAAUAAGCCCUUACGGGGAAAGUUUUAACGCCGAAAGAUGAGCCCGCACUUGAUUAGCUAGUUGGUAAGGUAAAAGCUUACCAAGGCAACGAUCAAUAGCUGUUCUUAGAGGAAGACCAGCCACAUUGGGACUGAGACACGGCCCAGACUCCUACGG